rnacentral:tRNA from 1 species
UCGUCGUUCGGCGUGCUCGGCUCCAACGUGCCGUGCCUGAUUCGCGCGCUGGUGGCGUGUGGCUGGUUCGGUAUCCAGACGAUGUUC